UACGUAGGGUGCAGGCGUUAAUUGGAAUUACUGGGCGUAAAGCGUGCGCAGGCGGUUUCUUAAGUCAGAUGUGAAAGCCCCGGGCUUAACCUGGGAACUGCGUUUGAAACUGGAAAGCUUGAGUGCGGCAGAGGGGGGUGGAAUUCCACGUGUAGCAGUGAAAUGCGUAGAGAUGUGGAGGAACACCGAUGGCGAAGGCAGCCCCCUGGGUCGACACUGACGCUCAUGCACGAAAGCGUGGGGAGCAAACAGG
rnacentral:rRNA from 1 species